GAAAAAUUAGCAUACAAGUAGCCUACCAUCACUACCACCAACUCUUUUAUUAAAAAUCUUCGUUCUGCUGAAUGCAUCAUGCAGUUAAUACAGGUCACUACUGGGUCACUACCCCAGUAUGGACAUGUUUGUUUUUCUGAACAUGUUUUUCAACAAAUAAUUCAUUGACGUACAAGGAAAGCUAUGAAAAAUAUCAUAUCAUCUAGGCCAUGGGUAAUCUUCAGGUUUAUUGCAGUAGCUUAAUAGAAGAAUGUGAACAAAUGCAGGGGACUGGUCACAUACCAACAUGUGUUGUAUUUUUCUGAAUGUUAAACACGAGCAGCAGAUUCAACAUGACUAACUGUUUGAUGCCAAAGUUAGUUGGAACUCAACUCACUGUGCGUACUCUAAAAACACAGAUAACUGGUGCUGUUUCCUUUCAGUCACAGGCAGGAAAAUGAUUCUUUUCUUCAGAAAAUUGAAAGCUGCUGGAGUAAUCUGGUGGUCAUGCUCAUUUGAUUCAUUUCGUGCCACCUAGUGAAAGCCGAAAGGCAUGUCGAAUUCAAUUGAGCUGCUGCGUGCUGUCUCGAAGGAAGCAAAAAAGCAAUCCAGCCGUUGCGUUCAGUCAUUUGGAACAGGAAUCUAAUGGCUGUCAAUAGGUGGCUGUGAAAGUGUGAAUAAGUGGCUGAAAUUAUGUCCACCAGGUGGCGCGAAUCUCUUCGAGGACGCUUAUUAACGGGCUAACGGCUGUUUUGUUCCAAGACGUAGCAGAAAUGGGUUGUUGGUUGUGACGUUUCUCACGAUGAAAAUUAAAAGACUUGGAAUUGCCUGUACAUUUCCGAAAUGGCGUGCCUCGUGUGUCUCGCUGCCUGUUCUUAGGCGUACGUCUCAUCCCAUGUAAAUCAACAGCAAAAAGUAUAACAAACACUUUUUUAACGCUGGUGGUGGUUACCUUGUUGCAGCCAAAUGGUGAAAGGUGUGACGAAGACAGAUUGAACCAUUGUAUGGAGCAUGCGGUUGCAGUGUAAUCCAGAAGUUGCUGUGCUGUUGUAGCUGAGCUGUUCCAUCUGAGUUCCCGACUUAAAAAUUUUUGUGUUGUCGUUUUCAUCCAUGCCAUGAAAUUGCUCUGUGUUAACUGUGUGCUGACUGAAAAGUUUGAUCUGUUGUCUUUUGAGUUUUCAUUCAAUCAUGCAGUAUACGAUUGAGGCAACCUGAUCAAUAUCAGGUUUGACACAGUCGAGAACUUCUA
rnacentral:lncRNA from 1 species